rnacentral:rRNA from 2 species
ACUCCUACGGGAGGCAGCAGUGGGGAAUUUUGCGCAAUGGGGGAAACCCUGACGCAGCAACGCCGCGUGGAGGAUGAAGUCCCUUGGGAUGUAAACUCCUUUCGAUCGGGACGAUUAUGACGGUACCGGAAGAAGAAGCACCGGCUAACUCUGUGCCAGCAGCCGCGGUAAU